AUCUUUACCUACCAACACCUUCAAUCUUCUCUCUGGUUCUCUCUCACACAAUCAUCCGGUUGAUUUUAUGAACUAAUCUUCUCAGAAACAAAGCAUGAUGCUUUUGCAAACUACUUGAGUAUUAAAAAACACCCAAUGGCUAAGAUCAUGGAGGAGGUGCCCGUUAAAAGAUGGAAUGGAGGACAACGUCUAACGUGAUCGAAUGUGGGAUUUUUGCAAUGAGGCAUAUGGAAACGUAUAUGGGGAAGAUGGCUGGUUGGGCAUGUGGUCUGGCAGAAGAAGAUGCCCCAAAUCAACUACAGCAAAGAUAGCUAAUGACCUAAGGAUGAAAUACAUUGCAAAAAUCCUGCUGCAUAGCGAAAAUGAAAACAUAAGACAAGUGACCAAAUCUGUAAGAAAAUUCUUGGAUUUAGGGGGAGAAAGAAUACAUGAAUUAUAUCAAAUAGGACACAAGAGAAUAGAAGAAAGGAUGGAUCUAUAUGUAGAUUAGCUUAAACGCCAUGAAUUGUAUAAUUUUAACGUUGACUAAUGUAUUUUGUUUUUUAGACUAUUGAAUCUACUUGUUUCGUUAUGGGAUUUUCGA